GGAGGUAGUGACAAUAAAUCACAAUGCGGGACUAUACGUCUUGCAAUUGGAUUGAGAACAAUGUACAACUCUUAUCGAUAAGCCAUUGGAGGGCAAGUCUGGUGCCAGCAGCCGCGGUAAUUCCAGCUCCAAUAGCGUAUAUUAACGUUGUUGCAGUUAAAAAGCUCGUAGUUGAAGUGUGGGUGAUCGCUAUUGUGAGACUUCGGUCUCUCGAUAGUAAGUCACCCCCUUCCAGUAUCCAGUAGUGGGUAUUCAGUUACUUACUAUUGUGUGUUGGUCCUUUACUGUGAGAAAAUUAGAGUGUUCAAAGCAGGCGUUUGCUUGAAUAGAUUAGCAUGGAAUAAUAAUUGAAGGCUUUCGUGUUCAAUUUGAUUGGUUUGUUCAUGGAAGCAAGGUUAAAAGGAACAGUUGGGGGUAUUCAUAUUCACUAGUUAGAGGUGAAAUUCUCGGAUUUAUGGAAGAUGAACAAGUGCGAAAGCA
rnacentral:rRNA from 1 species